GACGAACGCUGGCGGCGUGCCUAAUACAUGCAAGUAGAACGCACAGUUUAUACCGUAGCUUGCUACACCAUAGACUGUGAGUUGCGAACGGGUGAGUAACGCGUAGGUAACCUGCCUGGUAGCGGGGGAUAACUAUUGGAAACGAUAGCUAAUACCGCAUAAUAUUAAUUAUUGCAUGAUAAUUAAUUGAAAGGUGCAAUUGCACCACUACCAGAUGGACCUGCGUUGUAUUAGCUAGUAGGUGAGGUAACGGCUCACCUAGGCGACGAUACAUAGCCGACCGGAGAGGGUGAUCGGCCACACUGGGACUGAGACACGGCCCAGACUCCUACGGGAGGCAGCAGUAGGGAAUCGUCGGCAAUGGACGAAAGUCUGACCGAGCAACGCCGCGUGAGUGAAGAAGGUUGUCGGAUCGUAAAGCUCUGUUGUAAGAGAAGAACGGGUGUGAGAGUGGAAAGUUCACACUGUGACGGUAGCUUACCAGAAAGGGACGGCUAACUACGUG
rnacentral:rRNA from 1 species